rnacentral:rRNA from 1 species
GCCAGACUCCUACGGGAGGCAGCAGUGGGGAAUAUUGCACAAUGGGGGAAACCCUGAUGCAGCAACGCCGCGUGAGUGAAGAAGUAUUUCGGUAUGUAAAGCUCUAUCAGCGGGGAAGAAAAUGACAGUACCUGACUAAGAAGCCCCGGCUAACUACGUGCCAGCAGCCGCGGUAAUACGUAGGGGGCAAGCGUUAUCCGGAUACACUGGGUGUAAAGGGAGCGUAGACGGCGACGCAAGUCUGGAGUGAAAGCCCGGGGCCCAACCCCCGGACUGCUUUGGAAACUGUAUGGCUGGAGUGCAGGAGAGGUAAGUGGAAUUCCUAGUGUAGCGGUGAAAUGCGUAGAUAUUAGGAGGAACACCAGUGGCGAAGGCGGCUUACUGGACUGUAACUGACGUUGAGGCUCGAAAGCGUGGGGAGCAAACAGGAUUAGAUACCCCCGUAAA